GGGAAUGUGGCUUAGUGGUAGAGUGCUUGCCUAGCAUGCCAGAAGCCCUGGGUUCGAUUCCUCAGUACCA
rnacentral:tRNA from 1 species